rnacentral:sRNA from 2 species
AUAUUGUUUUCGCUUAAUCUUCCGGCAGGAAGAGCGGGGGAACCAACAGCGGGACGAUCGGCAUCGAUUGUCAUCGCGUACCAAACUAUUUUGGGGUGAAUUGAACGGCCCGAAGUCCGCGGAUGAAGGCGCCGUUGAUAGGGCGACUCUCUUGCCCGAACCCGACAGCUAACCUCGCAAGCGUUCCAAGAGAGAUCAA